rnacentral:tRNA from 1 species
GCCUGGUUGGCUCAGUUGGUUAAGUGUCUGCCUUCAGCUCAGGUCAUGAUCCCAGGACUGUGGGAUCAAGUCCCACAACAGGCU